CUUCCUGAGUUUAUAAUUGCUGGUUAUUGGUUGAGUUAGUUGAAAAUUGGGCUCCAACCAUAACACUGUUCGUUGGUCCAAUUGACGAUCGAUUGUAGGUUGCACUGGAUAUGUAUGUGUGAACUCGUUUGGGGUUUUCCAUUUUAUGGAUGGUUAUUUCAGAAAUUCUAUUCUCUGAGUGAUGCGAAGACAAGUCGUAUGCCCCAAGAGGUUGAGGACGGGGUCUGUAAUCCCAAAAGCAUUCAAGAGAAGAUCUAAUGACGAGCUAUUGUGGCAAACUUGAUCAAUUGAAGACAAAAAGGUCGUUAUCAAAAGAAUCGCAAAUUGGCACCCAAUGAAAAUCAAGAUGGACGCCGAGCAUGGAUGCCAAAUCAAUCAAUACACCUCAUCAAGUUAAACAUCGAAGAUAUUAUUUGAAUUCAAGUGUAAAGGUAAAAUACUUUAAUUGUUAGCAAUGAAUCAUUCAAAACUCAAGAAGAAUCUUUAUGCAUGAGAAAUAAUUAUUUUAUAAUGAUACUAUCUAAAAGUUAAUUUUCAAGAGGUAAGAAUCUCAGCUUGAUAUUUAAACUUCUCAUAUAUGUCACUUAUCUUGAAAAAUAAAGUGAGAAUGCCUUCAAAAGACCACAUUUUUCAAAACGAUCAAAGAAGGAAAAAUCAAGGAAAAUUCUGUCUAAGCGAGCGUCUGAUUUAUCCAACAAUCCAAUUUUUAACCGUUUUGAAUUCUAACGGCUAGUUCGGUAUUAAAUGGUCUCAUUGAGUCGUCCAAUUGGUCAGAAACUUUGCUUUUUAACUGCUACAAAUACCACAUCACUUUGCAUUCAUUUUAACACUGUUGAGAGCAUUAAAGUUUGAUACUCUUGAGCCAAAUUAUUGAAUACACACCUAAUUUAUUUUUAUCAAAUCA